rnacentral:lncRNA from 1 species
AGGCAUUGAGGCAGCCAGCGCAGGGGCUUCUGCUGAGGGGGCAGGCGGAGCUUGAGGAAACCGCAGAUAAGUUUUUUUCUCUUUGAAAGAUAGAGAUUAAUACAACUACUUAAAAAAUAUAGUCAAUAGGUUACUAAGAUAUUGCUUAGCGUUAAGUUUUUAACGUAAUUUUAAUAGCUUAAGAUUUUAAGAGAAAAUAUGAAGACUUAGAAGAGUAGCAUGAGGAAGGAAAAGAUAAAAGGUUUCUAAAACAUGACGGAGGUUGAGAUGAAGCUUCUUCAUGGAGUAAAAAAUGUAUUUAAAAGAAAAUUGAGAGAAAGGACUACAGAGCCCCGAAUUAAUACCAAUAGAAGGGCAAUGCUUUUAGAUUAAAAUGAAGGUGACUUAAACAGCUUAAAGUUUAGUUUAAAAGUUGUAGGUGAUUAAAAUAAUUUGAAGGCGAUCUUUUAAAAAGAGAUUAAACCGAAGGUGAUUAAAAGACCUUGAAAUCCAUGACGCAGGGAGAAUUGCGUCAUUUAAAGCCUAGUUAACGCAUUUACUAAACGCAGACGAAAAUGGAAAGAUUAAUUGGGAGUGGUAGGAUGAAACAAUUUGGAGAAGAUAGAAGUUUGAAGUGGAAAACUGGAAGACAGAAGUACGGGAAGGCGAAGAAAAGAAUAGAGAAGAUAGGGAAAUUAGAAGAUAAAAACAUACUUUUAGAAGAAAAAAGAUAAAUUUAAACCUGAAAAGUAGGAAGCAGAAGAAAAAAGACAAGCUAGGAAACAAAAAGCUAAGGGCAAAAUGUACAAACUUAGAAGAAAAUUGGAAGAUAGAAACAAGAUAGAAAAUGAAAAUAUUGUCAAGAGUUUCAGAUAGAAAAUGAAAAACAAGCUAAGACAAGUAUUGGAGAAGUAUAGAAGAUAGAAAAAUAUAAAGCCAAAAAUUGGAUAAAAUAGCACUGAAAAAAUGAGGAAAUUAUUGGUAACCAAUUUAUUUUAAAAGCCCAUCAAUUUAAUUUCUGGUGGUGCAGAAGUUAGAAGGUAAAGCUUGAGAAGAUGAGGGUGUUUACGUAGACCAGAACCAAUUUAGAAGAAUACUUGAAGCUAGAAGGGGAAGUUGGUUAAAAAUCACAUCAAAAAGCUACUAAAAGGACUGGUGUAAUUUAAAAAAAACUAAGGCAGAAGGCUUUUGGAAGAGUUAGAAGAAUUUGGAAGGCCUUAAAUAUAGUAGCUUAGUUUGAAAAAUGUGAAGGACUUUCGUAACGGAAGUAAUUCAAGAUCAAGAGUAAUUACCAACUUAAUGUUUUUGCAUUGGACUUUGAGUUAAGAUUAUUUUUUAAAUCCUGAGGACUAGCAUUAAUUGACAGCUGACCCAGGUGCUACACAGAAGUGGAUUCAGUGAAUCUAGGAAGACAGCAGCAGACAGGAUUCCAGGAACCAGUGUUUGAUGAAGCUAGGACUGAGGAGCAAGCGAGCAAGCAGCAGUUCGUGGUGAAGAUAGGAAAAGAGUCCAGGAGCCAGUGCGAUUUGGUGAAGGAAGCUAGGAAGAAGGAAGGAGCGCUAACGAUUUGGUGGUGAAGCUAGGAAAAAGGAUUCCAGGAAGGAGCGAGUGCAAUUUGGUGAUGAAGGUAGCAGGCGGCUUGGCUUGGCAACCACACGGAGGAGGCGAGCAGGCGUUGUGCGUAGAGGAUCCUAGACCAGCAUGCCAGUGUGCCAAGGCCACAGGGAAAGCGAGUGGUUGGUAAAAAUCCGUGAGGUCGGCAAUAUGUUGUUUUUCUGGAACUUACUUAUGGUAACCUUUUAUUUAUUUUCUAAUAUAAUGGGGGAGUUUCGUACUGAGGUGUAAAGGGAUUUAUAUGGGGACGUAGGCCGAUUUCCGGGUGUUGUAGGUUUCUCUUUUUCAGGCUUAUACUCAUGAAUCUUGUCUGAAGCUUUUGAGGGCAGACUGCCAAGUCCUGGAGAAAUAGUAGAUGGCAAGUUUGUGGGUUUUUUUUUUUUACACGAAUUUGAGGAAAACCAAAUGAAUUUGAUAGCCAAAUUGAGACAAUUUCAGCAAAUCUGUAAGCAGUUUGUAUGUUUAGUUGGGGUAAUGAAGUAUUUCAGUUUUGUGAAUAGAUGACCUGUUUUUACUUCCUCACCCUGAAUUCGUUUUGUAAAUGUAGAGUUUGGAUGUGUAACUGAGGCGGGGGGGAGUUUUCAGUAUUUUUUUUUGUGGGGGUGGGGGCAAAAUAUGUUUUCAGUUCUUUUUCCCUUAGGUCUGUCUAGAAUCCUAAAGGCAAAUGACUCAAGGUGUAACAGAAAACAAGAAAAUCCAAUAUCAGGAUAAUCAGACCACCACAGGUUUACAGUUUAUAGAAACUAGAGCAGUUCUCACGUUGAGGUCUGUGGAAGAGAUGUCCAUUGGAGAAAUGGCUGGUAGU